rnacentral:rRNA from 1 species
CGCCAGCCUGACGGAGCCAGACCGCGUGGGGGAGGAAGGCCCUUGGGUUGUAAACCCCUUUUCUCAGGGAAGAAGUUCUGACGGUACCUGAGGAAUCAGCCUCGGCUAACUCCGUGCCAGCAGCCGCGGUAAUACGGAGGAGGCAAGCGUUAUCCGGAAUCAUUGGGCGUAAAGCGUUCGUAGGCGGCUGUUCAAGUCUGCUGUCAAAGACCGAGGCUCAACCUCGGGUCGGCAGUGGAAACUGGAUAGCUAGAGGUCGGUAGGGGCAAAGGGAAUUCCCAGGGUAGCGGUGAAAUGCGUAGAUAUCGGGAAGAACACCAGAGGCGAAAGCGUUCUGCUGGGCCGCACCUGACCCUGAGGGACGAAAGCCAGGGGAGCG